AAGAGAGAAGAGUCGAGAGAAGAGAGUUGGUUGAGUUUGCGGUAACAGUAACACCGUUGUGGGAAGCCUCGACGGCGUCAAGAGAGACAGAGAGAGCGAGAGCGGAUCGGCGCGUUGUAGCGGGUGACGUGACUGUGGGCGAGCGGGUAGAGCCUCGACAGAGGGUAGUAAUGAGCCAGGAGUGAGACACCACCCAGAGAGCCAGUGCAGUUCUGUAUUGCACAAACCUGAAUGAUUCUACACAUGCUGUGAUUCUGGGGUGUGAGAAGAAUCUGAUACUCUCAAAAUAAUCAGCUCUGUUAACUGUGGGUGAGACUCUUCCUUCCUGAUAUCAAUGCCUACACUGACAUUCUCUCCACAAGUCAGUGCUUCCCAAACUGUGGUAAGUGUCUGUCAAAAUGACAUUAAUCUUUAUUUAACUUAAUUUUACCAAAACUCAGGCUUUAAUAGUUUGUUAUUUUACUCCUAUAAAAACAGAACACCUGAUGUUUCACACCGGCCUUUCCUGAGAGCACCAGUAGAGUAAACUCAAUUUAUCAUGUACUGCUGUGUGUGUAAACUAAGUGCUUUACUAACUGUUGUUAUGGGAUGUGAUCGUUGUUAUUUGUGUAUUUAAAUUAGCUUCACUUUCACAGACGUGUUUUAGUUCACGGUUGUAGUGAGUUUACGGUCCUCAAGUCUGCUGUGAUGGGUGCUUGGAUGUUAACAUUACUGUUAUGUGGUUGUAGCACUGAUUCAUGUUGUAGUGCUGUAAAACAUUGAAUUGUAUAUAUGAUCUGAUAUGUGCACAAGUUAGUAAACAUUUUGUGAUUCACUGUUUUAAAGGUACACUAAAUAAAUUUUCUCAGAGGAAGAUGUUUAUUUGUAGUAUUUCAUCACAAUGUUUCAAAAUAGAAAAAAGUGGCAUCAGGACAGGGAAUAUGGAGUCAGUGUAAUGUACCAAAUAUAUCAUUGCAAUAUCUUACUUUCUCCUCUCUCUUUCUCUGUCUCUCUCUCUUUCUUAUUUUCUACUCUCUCUCUCUCCCUCUUUUAUAUCUCGCUCUGUCUCUCUCUUAUUUCUCUCUUUCUAUCUCCCUUUCUUAUCUUUUACUUUCUAAACUCUUUUAGCUCUCUCUUACUUUCUUACUUUCAAUUUACUUUAAUGCUGAUUUUUCUAAUCCAGUACCCAAAUGUGUCAAGUGUCCAAAUGAACCUACUUACUGAAUUACACAAUCCUUAUGACUUACACCAAUCAGGCACAACAUUAUGACCUUGUUUCUAUGCUCAUUUUCCAUUUUAUCAGCUCCACUUAAUAUAUAGGCGCACUUUGUAGUUCUUCAGUGGUCAGGGCCCCCGUGGACCCUCACAGAGUGGGUGCUAUUUGGGUGGUAGAUCAUUCUCAGCAAUGCAGUAACACUGAUUUGGUAGUUGUGUGUUAGUGCGUGUUAUGCUAGUAUGAGUGUGAAACACGUGUAUGUAAUAUUUAUGUUGUUGAUUACCUGAACAAAGAGUAAAGAUAACCAAUCGACAAAUGAGGUUCUCCCGUGAAGUGAGACUUGAAAGAGUCAAGACUAGAGGCAAGUCAUGAACUGUAUUGAGAAUUAUAUAAAACACACAGAUCUCUCAACUUUGACAGAAUAAAAUAAAUAAAAGUCCCCCAAGGAAUAAACAGUGUUUGGUCAACCUUCAAGGUAUGAAGAUACUGAGAACAAGAACAGGGAAGUAUUUCUUUUUUUUUCUGUUAGUGUUUGUGUUGUUCAAUGUUAUUAAUCAAUGCUAUUAACCAGUAAUAUUUAUUUCAGGUUGAGCUACUCACAGCCCUCAGGCGAGUAUUAAUUAUUAUAACCUAUUAUCAGCUAUUUCAACUCAUUUUGCUCUCUUUUCCUUCUAGGUUCUCAUAGAUUCUGGUUCCUUUCAUUAAGUCACAGUGUCACCAACACAACAGACACUGAGGAAGCAAGAAAAGCUACAUCUUAUUCAACAUAAGAACGAGUCUAACAUGGACUACCUUUUGAUGUUCAUUUUCUUUAUUCCAAGAAUUGAGAGGUGGAGGUAGAAAGGCAGUUAUCUCUUCAAUCUGGAGGAACGGUCACCAUCCCGUGUCAUUAUGAUAUGAAAUAUAUACAUCAUAAGAAAUACUGGUGUUAUGAUGCUAGAACAGCAUUUAAUUACUGUACGAUUCUGGCUUAUGAAAAUACUACACAAGAUAGAGUAACAGUGACUGAUUAUCCAGCUCAGAGUCUCUUUACUGUGACUAUGAGAGAUCUGCAGAGUGGAGACACUGGAAUGUACUGGUGUGCUGUGGAGAUUGGAGGACUAACCGAGCCAGAUGUUAAAGAACAGUUUUACAUCACAGUGAAAUCAGAUCCUGAUCUGUCUGUGUUGGAGAGCAGUGUGAAUGGUCAGGAAGGGGGCAGUGUCAGUGUCCAGUGUCUCUACAGUGCUGGAUAUCAGAAUGAACAGAAGUGGUGGUGCAGAUCUAAAGACCAGAGGUGCUACACAGUGGGGAGGACUGACACAUCCCAGAAUUCUGCUGUUCAGAUCAGUGAUGAUGGGAGAAGAUCCUUCAGUGUGGAGAUGAGUGGGCUGCAGAAGAGUGAUGCUGGCUGGUACUGGUGUAAAACUGGAGAUCUACAGGUUCCUGUUCAUCUCAGUGUCAGUGAUGCUCCUCCAGCUGUGACUUCAGUUUCUGCCACUGAGGGAACCAGCAUCAGUGAAGCCACUUCAGCACCCUUGGAGCUUAUUUAUGCAGGCAUGAGCCUUUGCUGUAUGUAUUUGAGUCUAUGGAGCGCAGAGUUUGGGGAAAAGUGAAACAUCAGGAACAGCAUGGAUAUAACAGAAUGGUUCUGCAAUUGUUACUACCAAUACAGAAUCAGCAACAGAUCUAGAGCAGUUCUGUGUUGCACGCAACUGAAUAAUUCCACACAUGCUGUGAUCCUGGAGGUGUCGAGGGCUGGCGAGGGCAGAGAGGAAUAUUCAGCAGCAACUUCUGUGUCUGUUAAUUUAUCAUUGUUUGAUUGCAGUAAUGGGAACUGAUUAGUAAAACAGCAGUGCAGUGUAUAUAGAUCAGGGUUCCUGAAGGGUUCCAGCACAGUUUUGUAGUCUCCCUAUAACACCUACUAAACACCAAGAGUAACAGACAAGUUGAAGUUCAGGUGUGUUUGAACAGGGAAAUCAUUAAACUGUGCUGGACACCAGCCCCCAGGACCAGAGUUGUUCACCCCUGAUAUCCUUCUGCCUCAUGUGAUGUGACUGUAUAACAGGGAUGGGCAAUUCCACUAAUUUCCUUUUUCAGUGUUUGUUUUGUUGUUUUCUUUUUAUCACUGCUUGUUGUUGUUAACUACUUAUGUCUAUAUUGUUCUUUUAAUAUGGAUGUCCUAGAUUGUAAUGUGUGUUUGAGCAUGUUAUGGCUUUGUGUAGAUUAAUUACACCAUGUAAAAAUUUUGUUCCCAGUUGUUAAGUGUGUUUUCCUGAUUUUUUUUUUUUGUACCCUAAAUGAAUAGAAGUAUAUAAUAAAUAAUAAAAAUUAUUAUUCCCUGUAAGCUUUUGUGGUCAGCACAAUGAUAUUUUGAAAUUGAUCUAUUUGGAUAUUCGCCAUAUUUCAAGAUACUUAAGAAGCUUCUGGAAUUGUGAGAACUAUCAAGAAGUUUCUAGAACUGUCCAGAAUUAUCUAGAACUUUCUGGGACUGUACAGAAUUGUAGGUAGCUGUAUAACUACAGUUAUAUAGGGCCACUGUAGCCCUUCCUGAGAGACGGAGAGACAUGAUCUAAUUGAUUGGAAUUGCAUAGUAAGUGGGCAACAGCUAUCACAGACAAAGGGGAAUUGAUCUAGACAGACAGGUGUGAAUUCAUUCUCUAUUCAGAUUCUGAUAACGACAGCAUUCACACUUCACCCCACACCCAUUACAGGAGGAGCUUAGGAAGGACCACUACUUUCAAAUGUAUAUAUUGUGUGUUACUCUGCUACCGGGUGAUCAGUCUUGCUCUGUUGAAUCCUCAGUACACUCUCGUACAUUGAUACUGCAUGGAAUAAAGAUUGACCAUUUUUAUCGA